UCAAGAUCAGCAGGAGAAGCAUCAUCUGACUCCUCAUCAGAACCAUCAUGUGCCUGUGCUGCUGCAUGUGCUGCUCUGCGGGCUGCAAAAUCUCUCCUAGAAUUAUAAAAAACAUUGCCUCUCCUAGUCAAACCCAUGUGGUGGAGGGUAGCCUCAGUGUAGGGGAUAUACUCACUGGACAAGGGUAAAGCAGACUCGGUACCUGGGUCAACCCCU
rnacentral:lncRNA from 1 species